UGCAACACCAUCACCACCAUUAGAGCUUAGGCACAAAUCAUACAAGUGCAGCUUUUACAUACGAGUCUUUCAAAUCCAAUGAUAAGGUUUACUUGCCUGUCACUUAACUUUAGCACUGCAACAGCCUCAGGCCAGCCAGGCCUGUGCUGGGGUGAGGAUCAAGUCACCCGUUAGACAGUCACACUGUCAGGAGUCAGGCCUCCCAACAGAGAGCCAGUGGGAAACUUUACAUUUUGAACACUCCAAGUCUCCUUGGAGCCUCUGACAAAUGCCCGACUGACUACAACGUAAUAACCCACAGAUGUCAAAAGUAUCAGUCUGAUACAAAUGAGUUUUCUGUAUAGUUUUGUCCUUAUCCCUAAGCCAUUUAGACUUAUGGGAGGCCCAACUGAACACAGGGAAGAAGCAGGGACCCUAGUCUGGAUUUAUACAAACCGCACGCUGAGCUCAGCGAACCCUGGUCUGGUUUUGUACCCGAACUGCUCUGGACUCAGUGGGCCAGGAUCUGGACUUGCACACAGCCUCACUCUGGACUCAGUGAGCCCUGGCAUAGAUUCGUACAAAGCCCACUCUGGACUUAGUGGGCCCUAUUCUGGAUUUGAAUCAGACCUGAUCUGGACUCAGCGGGCCGUGGGUCAACAGUUAUACCUAGCUCAGGUCUGCACCAAGCUGACACUGGUCUGGAGCUGCACACAGCCCCACUCUGUGCCGAGCUGACACUGGUGUGGAUUUGCACACAGCCCCACUCUGUGCCGAGCUGACACUGGUCUGGACUAAGUGGGACCAACCAGAAAACUAUACUGUUCUCAGAAGAGGAGAUUCAAUUAAAUCAUUCUAAUAUACUGAUUUUGGGAAAAAUACUUUUGAUAAACAUGGGCAUCUGAACUGAAAUCUCCUAAGGAAAAAUGAAACCAACUUUUACCCUAAUUUCCAUAUAAUUGAGAUUCUCCUUUUUUUCCAUGUAUAUACCAUAAGUAAGCACCAUUUACCUCACAACCAUUAAUGAGCAUUCACUGCACAUCCUCUCAAUAUGGGACACUGCACUGGGUUCUGGAAACACCAAAAGCAUUUAAAGUGCGUCCAUAUGAAUUUACUAUGGGAACCAAUACCUUUCCAGACCUGUAUAUUCAAAUACCCAAAGAAGGUAAGAACAACCAGUGUCCACAGCUAGAGGGGCAGCUGAUACUUUCAAUAUCAAUGAAUGAAUGAAUCUAUAACA